GGGCUUGCAGGGGUGCCUGGGUCGGGGGCUGCAGGUGGGAGUGAGCAAAUGUGCUGUCUCGCCACCUCGGGACAGGUGGUAGGGCCUCUGACACAGAGUGGUCCUUCCUGCUGUUCACAGCUCAGCUCACCGUGGGCUGACCAUAGGUAGGUGACAGUCCCCUUUCUGGCCUCGGUUUCCCUGUCUGUAAAUUGGGGAUAAUAAGCUCAAGAGCUGUCCCUGCCAGAACCCAGUGGACAGAAAUCCAGCAGCUGCUAUGGGAAGCGACCCGCCCAGCCUGCCCCGCCCUGCCUGGGGAAGCAGGCCUUCUGCUUGAGGGGGACUGGGCGCAUGCUGGGCCUCUGGUCUGCGCAGUCUGCCCGGGGUCUGUGAGUGCUUGUGAGUGGGCUUCUCCAGUCUCCAGAUUCUCGUUGAAAUCCUAACGCCCCAGGCAAUGAUGUUAGGAGGCGGGGCUUCUGGGAGAUGGCAAGUUCGUGAGGCUGCAGCUCUGCUGGGGGAUCAGUGUCCUUCUACAAGCGGCUCCAGGGAGGUCCCUUGCCCCUUCCACCAUGUGAGGACCCGAGAUGGUGCCGUCUAUGAACCGGGAAGUGAGUCCUCUCCGGACGUGGAACAAGUUGGUGCCUUGAUUUUGAACUUGCAGCCUCCAGGUGAGCCGCUGCUUGGGGUGAGCAUGCUUCCUGCUGGAUGCUUCUCUAUGUAAGCACCUGCCUGAGUGUCAGCCCUCUUAAGGUGAACCGCUCCGUGUCAUUCGUACAUUCACAAGUUUGUGCCGCCAUCAUCGUGAUCGGAUUCCAAAACAUUUUCAUCACCUCCAAGAAAGCCUUGUACCUGGCAGCAGUCACUGUCUCUAUGGAUUUGCUUAUUCUGGACAUUUCAUAAAAAUAGAAUCAAACAGCAUUUGG
rnacentral:lncRNA from 1 species